UACGGGGGGGGCAAGCGUUGUUCGGAAUUACUGGGCGUAAAGGGCUCGUAGGUUGCCAACUAAGUCAGACGUGAAAUCCCUCGGCUUAACCGGGGAACUGCGUCUGAUACUGGAUGGCUUGAGUUCGGGAGAGGGAUGCGGAAUUCCAGGUGUAGCGGUGAAAUGCGUAGAUAUCUGGAGGAACACCGAUGGCGAAGGCAGGUCACUGGGCCGCAACUGACGCUGAGGAGCGAAAGCAUGGGGAGCGAACAGG
rnacentral:rRNA from 1 species